UGCGGGGUGGAGCAGUCUGGUAGCUCGUCGGGCUCAUAACCCGAAGGUCGCAGGUUCAAAUCCUGCCCCCGCUACCA
rnacentral:tRNA from 10 species